CCUACGGGAGGCAGCAGUAGGGAAUCUUCCACAAUGGGCGCAAGCCUGAUGGAGCAACACCGCGUGAGUGAAGAAGGGUUUCGGCUCGGAAAGCUCUGUUGUUGGAGAAGAACGUGCGUGAGAGUAACUGUUCACGCAGUGACGGUAUCCAACCAGAAAGUCACGGCUAACUACGUGCCAGCAGCCGCGGUAAUACGUAGGUGGCAAGCGUUAUCCGGAUUUAUGGGGCGUAAAGCGAGCGCAGGCGGUUGCUUAGGUCUGAUGUGAAAGCCUUCGGCUUAACCGAAGAAGUGCAUCGGAAACCGGGCGACUUGAGUGCAGAAGAGGACAGUGGAACUCCAUGUGUAGCGGUGGAAUGCGUAGAUAUAUGGAAGAACACCAGUGGCGAAGGCGGCUGUCUGGUCUGCAACUGACGCUGAGGCUCGAAAGCAUGGGUAGCGAACAGGAUUAGAUACCCCAGUAGUC
rnacentral:rRNA from 1 species